rnacentral:misc_RNA from 1 species
AUAUAUAUAUCAACCCUCUCUUUGUUGAGCGGUUUGGAUGUGGGGGUUUGCUGUGGCCUCUUGAAGAGGGUUCAGCUCCCCUGAAAUGCAUUAGCAGAACAACCUUGUUCAUUGGCGUGAUAAACUAUCUACGCUAUUGAAUGUGAGGGGCAGUUCAGCCUUCUAACGGUCCUUUGGGACAAAUUCAUCAUUA